rnacentral:rRNA from 1 species
CACCGCGGUUAUACGAGAGACCCAAAUUGACAGUACCCGGCAUAAAGUGUGGUUAAGAAAUUAAACAAUAAGGCCGAACUCUUCCAAAGCUGUCAUACGCAACCGAAAGAAAGAAGACCAACAACGAAAGUGGCCUUACUCAAUCCGAACCCACGAAAGCCAGGAAA